ensembl:miRNA MIR6782 microRNA mir-6782
CCUGCGGGUGGUGUGGGGGAAGGCAGGGGUGCGGCCUCCAGCCUGACCUCUGGUCUCCCGCCCUGCUGCCUUCGG